rnacentral:lncRNA from 1 species
AUGGCCGCCUGGCGCCCGGCGCUCGGGGCCGCCCGGGCAGGGACGGAAACCGUGCGGGGAGCGGCGGGGAGGCCGCCGGGGGGCGCGGGAAAGCCCCAAGGGACCGGGAAGCGCUGGGCUGAGGAGGAGGCGGCGGGCGGGGGUCAGCUCCGGGACCGUGGGGCGCUGAGGGGCGCGGGGCCGUGGGGUGCGAGGCGGGGCGGGCCCCGCUGUGCCGCAGCGCCCCGCGAGGGGCCGCCUGCCCCCUCCCCCCCACACGGAGCGCGUCACGGGAGGCGGGCCCCUCCCCCCUUCCGCCCGCGCGGAUUGGGCACCCGCGCUCGCGACGCCGAUUGGCCGCUGGGGGGGGGAGCGGGCCGCGCCCAUUGGCGGAGAGGGGGGCUCCGCCGGGCCGUGCGCAGAGUAGUAGGGAGGGGCGGGGGGAGCGCGCGGGGCCGUGUGCAAGCCGCGUGUGGCGCAGCCAGAAGGGAGCGGAGCGGGCGGGCAGAGCAGCGCGGCCUUCCCCCUUCCCUCGCCGCCUUCCCUCGGCGCCCUCCGUCCGCCGCCAGCCGCCGCCGCAGCGCGCCCGGCAGCUCGCGGGUAACGGCCGGGCCGCGGGGGGGGUUCCCGGGAGCGGGGGAUGGCGGCAGAGGGCGAGGGGAUGGCGGCGCUGGCGCACUCGGGCCUAGCGCGGGAAAGCGGCGCCGGGCCGGGCCUGGGCGGCGGGGCGGGGGGGGGGGAAGGGAGGGGAGUAAGGGGGGGUCUGUGGGGGCCGGUUGGGUCUGUGCGGGUCGGUGCCGCUCGGGGAGCGGGGCCGGGCCAAGGGCUGGGCGCGGGACGGCCUGGGCCGCACCUCUGGGCCGAGGUCCUACGGCAGCCGUGUGCCCCGGCCGGGCCGCGGGGCGUCAGGGGGGUUCAGGGGCGCUGGGAGGGCCGGGGGAGGAAAGGAGGGGAACGGAGGGGGGAGGGAAGGGAGCGGGAGGAACGGGCCGCGGGGCGACCUCACCCCGGGGGGGGGAGGGGAGGGAAGAGGAACGGUGCUGGGGGAGUUGGGGGGGGGGGGCGCUGGGAAGCGGCUGCAGUCAAAGCUCGCUCUGUUUCUCUCUCUUUUCUCAACUUUUCUCCUUAAUUUUUUCUCGCCCUCCCGAGCUGAGCCGGGCCGGGGCAGCGGGCCCCCGGCGGCGCGGUGUCGGCGGGGCCUGGGCCCGGGCGCACCACGUGGCCGCCCACGUGCUGGGCCCCGGCGGCGGCUCAGGGCGAGGAGCCGCGGCGGCUGCUGGCCUCCCCCCGGCACGGCCCCGGGCCCCAGCGGGGCCUAUAAAUGGGUAG